GAAGGGUGCCAGUGCUCAGGGAAGAGGCUGGAAGACAGCGGGUAUCUGACAGGCACCACAACCUGAGCAUGUGUAGAUGGACGCUGGUUUCUUCUGCUCUCUGCCUCAUCUCAGGUCCGGCCCUGCCACCUGUCCAGGGGCUUAGCCCAGAACCCCAGAAUCUGCUUUGAUGCCCCCGGGUCUGCAGGCAGACUUUGCUCUCGAAGGCACCUGAGUCUCACCUCCUUGGCCGUCAGCUUGGCACAAGUUACCCUGGCUGCUCCCCAGACUGUUCCCAUGGCCUGGCCCUGGCCGGGGACUCCCACUCUGCUUGCGGUCCUGAAGACAGCCAGAGAGGCCUUUGAGAGUGGAAGGCAGACACCAUAUGCCACCGCCCCCAGCUGACACUCAUAGGGGCUGCCCCUCAUGCUCUGGAUAAAACUCCGACUGGCUACUGUGCCUCUUUGGGUCUCCCCGGCCCAGGCCUGGCCAGGGGUUCCAGCCUUCACCAGGGGAAGGAGCAUCUGUGAGUCCAGGGAGUGUGCCUGGCCCAAUGCCUCUGCCCAGGGCCUUUGUGCCUGCCGUCCCCUCCCCAAUUCCACGCCUCCUGUUGCCCUCCGCAGAGGCACCUCUCCCGUGACCUCCAAGCACACCACCCACUAAAUCUCCGCCCUUCCUCUGCCUGCCUGCCCUCCCAGCACAGCCACUCUGUCCGCUCAGGCUCCUGAGCUGCUUACUUGUUCACCUGUCUUCUGCUGGAGACCAGGGAGCCCUCCCCUCGCUGGCUGUGGGGUCUGGGAACAAAGCAGUCUUAAUAAAUACUUCUCGAAAGAAUGGAGUAUGUGGUUGAAUAAAUAAGUCCCAGACAGGAGUUCCUUCUAAAAUGGUCUAGUUCAGGCUUCUCAGUUGCAGGUGGGGAAACUGAGGCCCUGAGCGGGCGGAGGUGGAGGGAAGUUGAGUGGCCCUGCCUGCAUCUCCCACCAGCGCUACCUCGCAUCCUCCUACAGCAUGCGAG
rnacentral:lncRNA from 1 species